rnacentral:rRNA from 1 species
AUUGAACGCUGGCGGAAUGCUUUACACAUGCAAGUCGAACGGCAGCACGCGGGCAACUCUGGUGGCGAGUGGCGCACGGGUGAGUAAUACAUCGGCACGUGCCCGGUCGGGGGGGAUAACGUAGCGAAAGUUACGCUAAUACCGCAUACUCUCUGAGUAUGAAAGCGGGGGACAUUCGGACUUCGCGCCAUCGCAGCGGCCGAUGUCGGAUUAGGUAGUUGGUGGGGUAAAGGCCUACCAAGCCGACGAUCUGUAGCUGGUCUGAGAGGACGACCAGCCACACUGGGACUGAGACACGGCCCAGACUCCUACGGGAGGCAGCAGUGGGGAAUUUUGGACAAAGGGCGCAAGCCUGAUCCAGCCAUUCCGCGUGCAGGACGAAGGCCUUCGGGUUGUAAACCGCUUUUGUAAGGAACGAAAAGGCUUUGGCUAAUACCGGGGGCUCAUGACGGUACCGGAAGAAUAAGCACCGGCUAACUACGUG